rnacentral:rRNA from 1 species
UCCAAACCCAUGUGAACAUAUCUCUUUGUUGCCUCGGCGCAAGCUACCCGGGACCUCGCGCCCCGGGCGGCCCGCCGGCGGACAAACCAAACUCUGUUAUCUUCGUUGAUUAUCUGAGUGUCUUAUUUAAUAAGUCAAAACUUUCAACAACGGAUCUCUUGGUUCUGGCAUCGAUGAAGAACGCAGCGAAAUGCGAUAAGUAAUGUGAAUUGCAGAAUUCAGUGAAUCAUCGAAUCUUUGAACGCACAUUGCGCCCAUUAGUAUUCUAGUGGGCAUGCCUGUUCGAGCGUCAUUUCAACCCCUAAGCACAGCUUAUUGUUGGGCGUCUACGUCUGUAGUGCCUCAAAGACAUUGGCGGAGCGGCAGCAGUCCUCUGAGCGUAGUAAUUCUUUAUCUCGCUUCUGUUAGGCGCUGCCCCCCCGGCCGUAAAACCCCCAAUUUUUUCUGGUUGACCUCGGAUCAGGUAGGAAUACCCGCUGAACUUAAGCAUAUCAAUAAGCGGAGGAA